rnacentral:rRNA from 1 species
AACGAACGCUGGCGGCAUGCCUAACACAUGCAAGUCGAACGAGACCUUCGGGUAUAGUGGCUCACGGGUGCGUAACGCGUGGGAACCUGCCCUUAGGUUCGGAAUAACUCCCCGAAAGGGGUGCUAAUACCGGAUAAUGUCUUCGGACCAAAGAUUUAUCGCCUUUGGAUGGGCCCGCGUUGGAUUAGCUAGUUGGUAGGGUAAAAGCCUACCAAGGCGACGAUCCAUAGCUGGUCUGAGAGGAUGAUCAGCCAUACUGGGACUGAGACACGGCCCAGACUCCUACGGGAGGCAGCAGUGGGGAAUAUUGGACAAUGGGCGAAAGCCUGAUCCAGCAAUGCCGCGUGAGUGAUGAAGGCCUUAGGGUUGUAAAGCUCUUUUACCCGGGAUGAUAAUGACAGUACCGGGAGAAUAAGCUCCGGCUAACUCCGUG